rnacentral:antisense_RNA from 1 species
CUGCAGGCCGGGGAGCCCAGCCGGGGGCACCCUCAUCCCAGGCUGACUGACGUCCCUGGCACCCAAAGGUCGCGGGGAGUGCGGGGCCAGGGUGCGCCCUCCCUCCCCCUCCAGCCAGUGAAACCCGGGACAGCGGCACCCAGUCCCAGGGCGGAGGCCGUCUCCGCUGCGCGCAGCGACGCACCCAGGCCCAAGGGCCGGGAGAUCCGCGGGGAACCCGGAGACCUGCGUCCCAGAGGGGCCGAGGGUUGCGCCGCGCCCGCUCCCACGGGCCUCUUCCGAGAGGACGCUUCUCCCGCGUGUCCGCGGGAAGUCCUCGGAUCCUGGAUAAGAAAGAGCCUUCUCUCACCGGCUCCCAGACCCCGCGCUUUUUAAUACCUGUCCUGACAGAGCGACUGGUCAUUUUAGGCCCGAGUCAAGCCUCUCUUGAUUAAUAAAUGACCAUGGCUCGUUUUGUUUUAA